UUGGUUUAAAGGGCCGCAUAGGGUUGUUGGAUUUCAGAAGUGCUACAUGCCAAAAUGGUCCUGCCCUCCGGUGUUUUAUGUCUGGCCCCUGUCUGUACAUAGUGGUUGGAAAAUAUUGUUUAACGCUUAUAUAAUAAUAAUAAUACUAAGACUAAUAGUUGGUCACGGUAAAUAUUAGACUAAAAUUUAGCGAUAAUAAUGCUAGGUUUCGUCGAAGGAAAAUAGAAUCGUUAGAAGCAAGCGCUGCCCGAUUUUGGAAUCAUCACCUUAACAAGUAGUGGCGCAUGAGCAUAGGUGUGAUGUUUUGGACGAGGGAUUACAGAUAUAGGCCUGUAGAUAUGAAAUAAUGUAGUAAGGCUUAUAUUGUACUGUUUAUGCUUUUGAUAUGUACGAACAUGACAUCCCGAGUCUUUUAAUGAAAUACAUUUCUAUGGAAAUGCUUUUGAUAAAUCUUUAUCAUAUUUUUGUUUUAGGGGCGACUCGGCGAGUCCUAGGAGGAACUCGGCGAGUCCGAGCGGGAUCCGGGUCGAGGUGUAAGUGACCAACUCGGCGAGUCGGCCAAGUGGACUCGGCGAGUCUGGUCUGUGCGAGGAAAACCCUAAAUUCGGGGCUUGGAGCCUAUUUAAGCGCCUCAUUCUCUUCCAUAGGGUUCCUUUACUGCCUCUUUCACCCAGAACAUUAAACCCUAGCCGCCAUAUCCUCUAUUUGAGCCAUUUGUUGCCUUGGAAGGUGCAUUAAAGCUUGGAGAAGGAAGAAGGAACUUGGAGGAGCAAGAAGGGACUAUAGAUCUGGGAUUGUGAGUUCAUUCUGAGCAUUUGGAGCUCGAGGAGCGAGUGGAGCAGGAGUUCAGAGAGUUGCCGGGCAACAGCUAGUGGGAUCAUCAGCGAGUUCAGCCAGUGCAGGUGAGUUUCCCUUUGUAUGAAUGGGUCUACCGCCACAAUGCCGGCCCAUGUAGUUAUGAGUAAAAGACCCAGGGGUUAGCCCUAGGCACAGUAUGCUAGUAUGAUAUUCGGGACGAGGUCCAAUGAUAGAGGGCGGGUGUCCAAGGAAUGGUUUAUGUGAUAGUUUAUACUUGUUGUCUGUGUGAUACUUAUAUGUGCCUGGUAGGGAGGUGAGUGUGGGCGAGGUCCCGUAUCUCACCAAUAGCAGAGUGUGGAUGGUGUUCCACAUCUCAGUAGCAGUAGAGCAGGGGCGAGGCCCAAGUUAGGGAAGGAGUGAGGGUGGGUUGGGCCCGUACCCCACUAUUAGCAGGAGUAUGGACGGGGUUCCACGACUCAUCCGUAGCAGGACAAGGGCGGGGCCCAGAGAUAGGCGAGGCCUUAGGACAAGAUUCGCUAGUAUGUGUUUAGAUUAUGUGAUGUGAUGUGAUAUGUUUACGUGCUAUUAUAUGUUAGUGGGCGAGGCCCUGUGACAGGCGAGGCCUAAGUGAAACAGAUAUGUAUCCGAGCGGGGCUCGAAGCUAGGUGGGGCGUGGAGCGGCGGGGCCGUUGUAGCGGGCGAGGCCCGAGGUAGGGGGCGAGGCCCAGGAUAGCGGGCGUGGCCCAGUAUGUGCAGUAUGUGGUUAUGCAUGGUAUGUGGUAGGGUGGGGAACUCACUAAGCUUCGUGCUUACGGUUUUCAGUUUUGGUUUCAGGUACUUCUGGUAGCGGAGGGAAGAGCUCGGGGUGAUCGCAUGGCACACACCAUAGCUUAGACAGCCUGGGAAUGUUUACUCUGAUAACGAACAUGUAUUUUGGAAACUAAUACUCUGUUUAUGUUUUGAAAUGAUGAAUUUGCUUAAAGUAAUGUUUUAUUAAAAGAAAUUUUUAGUCCUGAAUUUUGGGACGUUACAGUUUGGUUGAAAUCUUCAACUCAAUUAAUAAAUGGGUUGAACCCGAACUUAACCAAGGUCGACCCAUUACCAACUCCAAUUUUAUCCUUAUGGAUUUCAUUUUUUGAUUUAUUUUAUCAUUUUUUUAAGAUAGCUUUUUAAAAACGAAACCGGUGUUUUAAAACCGGUUGGUUGAACUUAAAACCGAGGACAAUAGCAGUUAAAAAAACAACCAAUUUUAUGCUAAGUUUUAGAGCAGAUAGAACCAUACAUUUUCUUCAAAAAUCGUUUUGAAACAAUGUGAUAUAAUUGGUAAAAAAAUUGUUUGAAACAGUUUAUUAAAUUUGGAUAGUUGGAUUUCAGCUAGUUCGUUAAAAAAUAAUAUACUUAAAAAAAUGAAUAGCUCGAUCGAUCAAUUUAUUCGGAAUGUGCAUAACUCGAAGGCCGACACACACCAUUUUCAAAUUUAGACCGACAGUUUAACCAGUUGAAUCGAUUGUCAAACCGAAAAUUGGUCAUUACACUGAUUUAAUUAAAAUUUUGGUUUUUAAAACACAAAACUAAACAGGCACAAAAUUUCCCCUACCCCUUCUUCUAAUCUUUUCUUCACCUUCACUUUGCAAAGUUCCUUUAUCAUAACACUCAGUUUCAGAUUUACUUCAUUAUUCGGGGUUGC